AGAGCACCGUCCUGCUGCCCUGCCGGGCUGCACCUGUGACGUCGGGGCCCAGAGGAAGUGGCUAGUUCUACCCUCAGUGCUCAGAACAGUGGGCACUAAGGAUGGUUUGUAGCCUGACAUUC
rnacentral:snoRNA from 1 species